rnacentral:rRNA from 1 species
UACGUAGGCGGAAAAUUAAGUCAGUAGUGAAAUCCUGCAGCUUAACUGUAGAACUGUUAUUGAUACUGGUUUUCUUGAAUGUAGUUGAGGUAGGCGGAAUGUGUAAUGUAGCGGUGAAAUGCUUAGAUAUUACACAGAACACCGAUUGCGAAGGCAGCUUACUAAACUAUGAUUGACGCUGAGGCACGAAAGCGUGGGGAGCGAACAGGAUUAGAUACCCUGGUAGUCC